UACAGAGGUCUCAAGCGUUGUUCGGAUUCAUUGGGCGUAAAGGGUGCGUAGGUGGCGCUGUAAGUCAGGUGUGAAAUUUCGGAGCUUAACUCCGAAACUGCAUUUGAUACUGCGGUGCUCGAGGACUGGAGAGGAGAGUGGAAUUUACGGUGUAGCAGUGAAAUGCGUAGAGAUCGUAAGGAAGACCAGUGGCGAAGGCGGGUCACUGGACAGUUCCUGACACUGAGGCACGAAGGCCAGGGGAGCAAACGGG
rnacentral:rRNA from 1 species